AAGCUUUAUAGUCAAUAAAUGAUAUUAGACUGCAAUUCUAAGGGAAUAUACUAUUAUAUAUGUAUAUUAAGGCUUA
rnacentral:tRNA from 1 species